UACGGAGGGUGCAAGCGUUAUCCGGAUUCACUGGGUUUAAAGGGUGCGUAGGUGGGUCUGUAAGUCCGUGGUGAAAUCUCCGAGCUUAACUUGGAAACUGCCAUGGAUACUAUAGAUCUUGAAUACUGUGGAGGUUAGCGGAAUAUGUCAUGUAGCGGUGAAAUGCUUAGAUAUGACAUAGAACACCAAUUGCGAAGGCAGCUGACUACACAAAUAUUGACACUGAUGCACGAAAGCGUGGGGAUCAAACAGG
rnacentral:rRNA from 1 species